rnacentral:rRNA from 1 species
AGAUUGAACGCUGGCGGCAGGCCUAACACAUGCAAGUCGAGCGGCAGCACGGGUACUUGUACCUGGUGGCGAGCGGCGGACGGGUGAGUAAUGCCUAGGAAUCUGCCUGAUAGUGGGGGAUAACGCUCGGAAACGGACGCUAAUACCGCAUACGUCCUACGGGAGAAAGCAGGGGACCUUCGGGCCUUGCGCUAUCAGAUGAGCCUAGGUCGGAUUAGCUAGUUGGUGGGGUAAUGGCUCACCAAGGCGACGAUCCGUAACUGGUCUGAGAGGAUGAUCAGUCACACUGGAACUGAGACACGGUCCAGACUCCUACGGGAGCAGCAGUGGGAUAUUGGACAAUGGGCGAAAGCCUGAUCCAGCCAUGCCGCGUGUGUGAAGAAGGUCUUCGGAUUGAAAGCACUUUAAGUUGGAGGAAGGCAGUUACCUAAUACGUAUCUGUUUUGACGUUACCGACUAGAAUAAGCACCGGCUAACUCUGUG